rnacentral:rRNA from 1 species
GACGAACGCUGGCGGCGUGCUUAACACAUGCAAGUCGAACGGAAAGGCCCUGCUUUUGUGGGGUGCUCGAGUGGCGAACGGGUGAGUAACACGUGAGUAACCUGCCCUUGACUUUGGGAUAACUUCAGGAAACUGGGGCUAAUACCGGAUAGGAGCUCCUGCUGCAUGGUGGGGGUUGGAAAGUUUCGGCGGUUGGGGAUGGACUCGCGGCUUAUCAGCUUGUUGGUGGGGUCGUGGCUUACCAAGGCUUUGACGGGUAGCCGGCCUGAGAGGGUGACCGGCCACAUUGGGACUGAGAUACGGCCCAGACUCCUACGGGAGGCAGCAGUGGGGAAUAUUGCACAAUGGGCGGAAGCCUGAUGCAGCAACGCCGCGUGCGGGAUGACGGCCUUCGGGUUGUAAACCGCUUUCGCCUGUGACGAAGCGUGAGUGACGGUAAUGGGUAAAGAAGCACCGGCGAACUACGU